rnacentral:pre_miRNA from 15 species
CCCAGCUGGCCAUGGGACCUGUGGGCUUCCCUUUGUCAUCCUUUGCCUAGGAUCCGAGUGGGGCAGGGACAACAAAGGGGUGCUCAGGCGUCACCUCCACA